GAUGAACGCUGGCGGCGUGCCUAAUACAUGCAAGUCGAGCGAACAGACGAGGAGCUUGCUCCUCUGACGUUAGCGGCGGACGGGUGAGUAACACGUGGAUAACCUACCUAUAAGACUGGGAUAACUUCGGGAACCGGAGCUAAUACCGGAUAAUAUAUUGAACCGCAUGGUUCAAUAGUGAAAGACGGUUUUGCUGUCACGUAUAGAUGGAUCCGCGCCGCAUUAGCUAGUUGGUAAGGUAACGGCUUACCAAGGCAACGAUGCGUAGCCGACCUGAGAGGGUGAUCGGACACACUGGAACUGAGACACGGUCCAGACUCCUACGGGAGGCAGCAGUAGGGAAUCUUCCGCAAUGGGCGAAAGCCUGACGGAGCAACGCCGCGUGAGUGAUGAAGGUCUUCGGAUCGUAAAACUCUGUUAUUAGGGAAGAACAAAUGUGUAAGUAACUAUGAACGUAUUGACGGUACCUAAUCAGAAAGCCACGGCUAACUACGUG
rnacentral:rRNA from 1 species